GCAGAGUUGCUCGCGCCGUAUAUCGGCGACAUUGCAGCAGAAGGGAUCGGCAAAGCCAUUCAGGGCGGGACGGCGAUCCUGCGUAAAACGCUGCAACGACAGCAGCGCUAUGCAGCGGAAGUGUUAACCGAAGAGUGGCGAAUGGCACCGGGACCGCUGGAAGUGGCAUGGUUUGCAGAAGAGACGGCGGCCGUAGAACGUGCGGUUGAUGCAUUAACCAAACGGCUGGAAAAACUGGAGGGCAAAUGA
rnacentral:sRNA from 1 species